CAAGAACAACACUAUAACAAGCGACACACAUUGGAAAUGCUACACAUAAUUAACACACCAACCAACAAACGACUAAACUACAAGACAGACACAGAAAAUUGCGCUCACUUGUACAGACACCUCUUAAACAGCCAAACAACCUCAGUAACAAUCUCCACGUCAAAAAGCGCAGACGUGUAAAAUAAUUGCCCUGAAGACGGUUUGCCGAUGUGCAACCGAAAUAUAUCGGAAGAAAAUUAAAA